UACGUAGGGUGCAAGCGUUGUCCGGAAUCAUUGGGCGUAAAGCGCGCGUAGGCGGCCCGAUAAGUCCGCUGUAAAAGUCAACGGCUCAACUGUUGAAAGCCGGUGGAUACUGUCGGGCUAGAGUACGGAAGAGGAGAGUGGAAUUCCCGGUGUAGCGGUGAAAUGCGCAGAUAUCGGGAAGAACAUCAGUGGCGAAGGCGGCCAUCUGGGACAACACUGACGCUGAAGCACGAAAGCGUGGGGAGCAAACAGG
rnacentral:rRNA from 1 species